AUUGAACGCUGGCGGCAGGCCUAACACAUGCAAGUCGAGCGGAUGAGAAGAGCUUGCUCUUCAAUUCAGCGGCGGACGGGUGAGUAAUGCCUAGGAAUCUGCCUGGUAGUGGGGGACAACGUUUCGAAAGGAACGCUAAUACCGCAUAAGACCUUCGGGUGAAAGUGGGGGACCGUUCGGGCCGUCACGCGGAUAGAUGA
rnacentral:rRNA from 1 species